rnacentral:rRNA from 1 species
UACGUAGGGUGCAAGCGUUGUCCGGAAUUAUUGGGCGUAAAGGGCGCGUAGGCGGCAUCGCAAGUGGAAGGUGAAAUCCCUCGGCUUAACCGAGGAACUGCCCUCCAAACUGCGUUGCUUGAGGCCGGGAGAGGUGAGUGGAAUUCCCAGUGUAGCGGUGAAAUGCGUAGAUAUCGGAGAGGAACACCUGCGGCGAAGGCGGGUCUCUGGGCGAGUAACUGACGCUGAGGAGCGAAAGCGUGGGGAGCGAACAGG